rnacentral:rRNA from 1 species
GAUGAACGCUGGCGGCGUGCCUAAUACAUGCAGGUCGAGCGAACAGACGAGGAGCUUGCUCCUCUGACGUUAGCGGCGGACGGGUGAGUAACACGUGGAUAACCUACCUAUAAGACCGGGAUAACUUCGGGAAACCGGAGCUAAUACCGGAUAAUAUAUUGAACCGCAUGGUUCAAUAGUGAAAGACGGUUUUGCUGUCACUUAUAGAUGGAUCCGCGCCGCAUUAGCUAGUUGGUAAGGUAACGGCUUACCAAGGCAACGAUGCGUAGCCGACCUGAGAGGGUGAUCGGCCACACUGGAACUGAGACACGGUCCAGACUCCUACGGGAGGCAGCAGUAGGGAAUCUUCCGCAAUGGGCGAAAGCCUGACGGAGCAACGCCGCGUGAGUGAUGAAGGUCUUCGGAUCGUAAAACUCUGUUAUUAGGGAAGAACAAAUGUGUAAGUAACUAUGCACGUCUUGACGGUACCUAAUCAGAAAGCCACGGCUAACUACGUG